AACGAACGCUGGCGGCGUGCCUAACACAUGCAAGUCGCGCGGGAAAGCAGGGGCAACUCUGCAAGUACAGCGGCGCACGGGUGAGUAACACGUAGGUAACCUACCUCCACGCCUGGGAUAACCUGUCGAAAGACGGGCUAAUACCGGAUACGACCACAGAAGUUGAGGCUUCGGUGGUGAAAGGUGGCCUCUGCUUGCAAGCUACCACAUGGGGAUGGGGCCUGCGCGCCAUUAGCUUGUUGGUGAGGUAACGGCCCACCAAGGCAAAGAUGGCUAGCUGGUCUGAGAGGAUGGCCAGCCACACUGGGACUGAGACACGGCCCAGACUCCUACGGGAGGCAGCAGUGGGAAUAUUGCGCAAUGGGCGAAAGCCUGACGCAGCGACGCCGCGUGGGUGAUGAAGGCCUUCGGGUCGUAAAGCCCUGUCGGGAGGGACGAAUCCUCGGUGACCUAACACGUCACCGACCUGACGGUACCUCCGAAGGAAGCACCGGCUAACUCCGUGCCAGCAGCCGCGGUAA
rnacentral:rRNA from 1 species